UACGGAGGGGGCGAGCGUUAUUCGGAAUCAUUGGGCGUAAAGGGCGCGUAGGCGGCCCCGUAAGUCUUGGGUGAAAGCCCUCGGCUCAACCGAGGAAUUGCCUUGGAUACUGCGGGGCUCGAGGCUGGAAGAGGGUAGCGGAAUUUCCGGUGUAGCGGUGAAAUGCGUAGAUAUCGGAAGGAACAUCAGUGGCGAAAGCGACUUCCUGGACCAAUACUGACGCUCAUGUGCGAAAGCGUGGGGAGCAAACAGG
rnacentral:rRNA from 1 species